UACAGAGGGGGCAAGCGUUGUUCGGAAUUACUGGGCGUAAAGGGCGCGUAGGCGGCCUUCUAAGUCGAACGUGAAAUCCCUGGGCUCAACCCAGGAACUGCGUCCGAUACUGGAUGGCUUGAGUCUUGGAGAGGUUGGUGGAAUUCUCGGUGUAGAGGUGAAAUUCGUAGAUAUCGAGAGGAACAUCGGUGGCGAAGGCGGCCAACUGGACAAAGACUGACGCUGAGACACGAAAGCGUGGGGAGCAAACAGG
rnacentral:rRNA from 1 species